rnacentral:rRNA from 1 species
CAGAGGUGGCAAGCGUUGUUCGGAAUUACUGGGCGUAAAGGGCGCGUAGGCGGUCUUGUAAGUCUCGUGUGAAAUCCCUCGGCUUAACUGAGGAACUGCACGGGAUACUGCUUGACUUGAGUUCGGGAGAGGGAAGCGGAAUUCCGGGUGUAGCGGUGAAAUGCGUAGAUAUCCGGAGGAACACCGGUGGCGAAGGCGGCUUCCUGGACCGACACUGACGCUGAGGCGCGAAAGCUAGGGGAGCAAACGGGAUUAGAUACCCCGGUAGUCCUAGCUGUAAACGAUGAGUGCUGGGUGUAGGGGGUAUUAACCCUCCUGUGCCGAAGCUAACGCAUUAAGCACUCCGCCUGGGGAGUACGGUCGCAAGGCUG